rnacentral:misc_RNA from 1 species
UUGAGGGAUGUUCCAAUGUUAUAAGGAUAGACAUUGGAAAUGUUAACCGAGUCAUAAUCAGGUUUAGGCCUGGUAUCCUAUUAUUAUUUACCAAAUGAAUUCAGAAUUAAUAUUGUAACAUAGACCUAAAAAAUCUAUAAAACAACUUUUAACAACGGAUCUCUUGGUUCUCGCAUCGAUGAAGAACGUAGCAAAGUGCGAUAACUAGUGUGAAUUGCAUAUUCAGUGAAUCAUCGAGUCUUUGAACGCAACUUGCGCUCAUUGGUAUUCCAAUGAGCACGCCUGUUUCAGUAUCAAAACAAACCCUCUAUUCAACUUUUGUUGUAUAGGAUUAUUGGGGGCCUCUCGAUCUGUAUAGAUCUUGAAACCCUUGAAAUUUACUAAGGCCUGAACUUGUUUAAUGCCUGAACUUUUUUUUAAUAUAAA